rnacentral:rRNA from 1 species
UGGGGAAUAUUGCACAAUGGGCGCAAGCCUGAUGCAGCAACGCCGCGUGAGGGACGACGGCCUUCGGGUUGUAAACCUCUUUUAGUAGGGAAGAAGCGAAAGUGACGGUACCUGCAGAAAAAGCACCGGCUAACUACGUGCCAGCAGCCGCGGUAAUACGUAGGGUGCAAGCGUUGUCCGGAAUUAUUGGGCGUAAAGAGCUCGUAGGCGGUUUGUCGCGUCUGCUGUGAAAACCCGAGGCUCAACCUCGGGCCUGCAGUGGGUACGGGCAGACUAGAGUGCGGUAGGGGAGAAUGGAAUUCCUGGUGUAGCGGUGGAAUGCGCAGAUAUCAGGAGGAACACCGAUGGCGAAGGCAGUUCUCUGGGCCGUAACUGACGCUGAGGAGCGGAAGCGUGGGGAGCGAACAGGAUUAGAUACCCUGGUAGUCCACGCCGUAAAACGUU